AGUCACCUCCAGGAAAUCAAUUCAAAGUAGCCACAGAGUGGGUGCAUUCCUUAUGAUUCACACAAACUUGGCUGUAGGGAUUUAGAUGCCAUUUUCUCAACAUGACUGGAGAAAUGACAAGCGCAACAGAAGGUCAGAGAAGCCAAUGAGUGCUAUUUGCAUCUUGUAAAAAAUGAAGGCAAAUUGUAAGAGUGCUGAGCAGGAGGCUGAAAUUCAGAUCCUUCGUGGACAAUAGAUCUUCACCUCCUCACCAGGGGCUUUUGGUUGUUUCCUCAAGCAAAACCAAAACUGAAGGAGGAGUCACUCACCUCCUGUCAACCUUGUUUCAGAGGCUUUGUUUGUGAGCAAAGAAGGAAGCAUAGAUGCUUCAGGUGUCUCCAGAAUCCAGCCAUGACAGGGAGGCAGCAUCUUUCAUGGCCUCUGGCCAGGAGAACUAUACACACAGCAUUAACCCUGACUACAGAGGACCCAGAAGUCAUUUAUAAACAUGGAACUGACUCCUGGAAUCAUUCAUCUAUACGCCUGGUGUUCACGGAUUUAUACUUAAAGUUUCUGCAACAAUUGAUUGGUUAUUAUUUAUACUAUCCUUCUGUGCUUGUAACACUUACAUGGACAGAGGAAGAAGAAGAUGAAAAGUCAAAAGCAUAAAGUGGCCUAGCAUGCAGAGGUGAAGCUACAAGGCAAGAGCUCACUCUGGAGACACAAUGCCCAUGCCAUCCCCAAGGCUACAGCAUGUCCAGUCUUAGCAAAGUGAGUGAGGAAGACCUUCAUGCCUCUGACAAAGAAGUAACUCUAUAUCUCUGAUUUCAGCAAUGAUAAGAGUUUGAUAAAAGAUUUAUUCAGUAUUUUUAUGUAUGUGUAAGUGUCUGUAUGUGUAAUUUGUGUGUACCAGGAUGCUGUCUACUUGCAGAUGUCCUCAGAGGUAAGGGGACACCUCAAUCCCUAGAAUUGGAAUAGUUAUGAGCUACCUGAGGUGGGCACAAAACCCAGGCAGGUCCUCUGCAAGAACAGUAUUUUGUCUUAACUCAGAGCCAUCUCUCUAGCCCCAAGAUGAAGGUUAUCUUACAGCAGUCAUUAUUCUUGUUAUUACAAACACAAAUCACACAGACAUACUGUGAAUAUUAGCUUUUGAAACAAAAGACACCCAUAUAUGCCUUACUUUUUUUCUUAUACUUGAGUAAUAUUAAGGUCCUCCUUUGAUUUGAUUAAAAUUGCAUUGGCAACAAGUGACAAUGGCAUAUUUGAUGCUCAUGGCCAUUUGCAUCACAUUCUGUUCAUUUGGCUUCUCUCUCCACUCCCCUUAUUCUUUAUCUUUUUCAGUUUCAUAUAUCAUACUCAUUCCAUAUAUUCUUGAACACUGCCAUGGAUUUGUGCUGUAAUCAAAGUAAAGAAAAAUUAAACAAAUGGAUAAAUGUAUUAAACAUUUCUUGAACCACUUUGUACUUGAAAAAAUAAUGGACUGGGGCCAAAGGACCUAUGUUCCCUCCCCGCUCCUAGGUGCCCUUGAUUAGCUAUGUGUCAAAGCUCUAGGAUCCUUCCAAAAUCAUUAGAACCUCCAUUCUUCAUUGUAAAAUGGUUCUAAAAAUUCUUUGAAGACUACCACAUAAGGCUAUAAAAUGAAAUGAUUUUAUGUAUAUGAAAUAGUUUU
ensembl:lncRNA